AUACUGACCUGGAGAGGAGAUACCAUAAUUUAAAAAGGUGGUUUUCCUAGGGCAAGGUUUCUCCAUCGCACUCUGGAAGUGCUAACCCCUGCAAUUUCCCAAAUGUGGGAAUCUUGACUGCAUAAUUUGUGGCAGUGGGGGACUGCAUUCACACUGUCUCUGG